CUUUACAGUACUUUGAGUUCAAGCUGUGAUAACAGCAGUAACAAUGUGAAUUGGCUCACUUUAAGCAGUGGAGUUCAUCAAGAUAUGUCCUGAAAACCAAACAUUCCUGCUGUUAAAUUGUAAGAAAGUUCUACAAAUCAACCAUGAAAAGAAAAAUGGAAUUCUCGUUGCUGGUGAAAGUGUUAGUCUGCACCUUAUAUCUCCAUAAUGUAAACAGUUUGGACUGGUGGGAAAAUUACCUGGAGGGCAUGAAAAAGCAGCUCUCUCUAUACGGAUGGCAGG